AUGAAGGGCCCAGCAGGACUGAGGCAGCAUGUGAGGAGGUCGAAGAAGACGCCUUGGCAGAAGCUGGAAGGCUUCCCCAUCUUAAGCCAGCGUCGCCGCAGCAGGCCCCAGACGCGGGGAGCAUCAGGCUGCUCCCUGGAGACACCGGCGGUGCCCACGGGCCAGGGGCUGAGCCAGCACGUGUGGGUGGCAGCCUGGUGGCCCGGCCAGCCCCGCAGGGCCCACAGUCCCCCAGAGGGGACCUGGAGCAGGACGCGGCAGCCGCGCCUCCGGGUGGUGGGAAGAGGCCUCCUGGACGAGGAAGAUGGACCGAACCUGGGUCAGGCUUCAGAGCUGCCUGCCCCUUCCGCCGGCCCCAGGGUCCCGCCACCGGUGCCGGAACCAACGCUGGACGCCCAAGCUCAAGCGGACCCGUGGUCCAGCCCACAGGUUAUUUCCCCCCUGAGCGUGCUGCGCCGUCCCCCCCCAAAGUUCCUCCUAAGGGGCCACUUUAGCCCCCAUGACUUUCUGUGUCUCCCCUGCGACUGACGAGUCCGCGGUCCUGCUGCGUCAGGGGGACCCACAAACACUUGCAGUAGGUGGGGAGGCUGUGGGUUCAGUUUUUAAAAAAACCAAAUCUGAUCCAGAGACUGUUUCUGGACUGAUUUCUGAUGAAACGCCCACAUUCCACAUUGGAGGAAACCACGUGAAAGGAAGUAUUUUAGACCGUUUCUCCUAAUUGCUGUUAACGAGACCAAAACAGAGGCUGAGGGCGCAGCUGAGGGGUUUCCACGAGGACAGCCCGUAGGUUGUGUUGGGGGCCCUGCCCUGGAACCCCCCCCGGCCCCUGCCCGCCAAAGCCGCUCAGGAUUUCUGUCCCUACUUGUAGGAAGCCGCCUGGGGGAGGCGGACAGGGCAGCUGGGGGCAAGUAUCCCCCAAAAGGCAGGCGCCGUCUCCCCACGAUCUUGGUGGGGUGCCCCAGGCCCCACCCAUCAUGUGGCUGCUGUGACCUCCUGCCUCGGCCGGGCUGCUGGCGCCGCAGAAGCAGGUUCACCGGCCCCUUCGGCGUGAGGCACCCACAUCCCCCGCAGGACAGCGGCUCCUCGAGGCCUGAGGCCCCUCCCUCGGCGACCCGAGCCCACGUCUGCUCCGACGCGGAGGGGGCUGUCCAGCGCCGGCCAGGACGCCGAGUCCACAGGGUAACUACAGCGGCUCGCGCCCCCCACCCGGCCUUCCCGGGACGCCCAGGCCCAGCCCCGGCGCGCUCCCGCGUCCGACACACUGACCGAGGCUGAGCCGAAACUCUGCCCAGAGCCGGCCGACGAGGCACGAGACCAAGCGCCUUCCCCCGACGGGGCUGGAGGUGAGCAGGAGCUCAGCCCGCGGCCACCGCCACCCUGGGUGCCCUCCGUGGCCGCCAGCAAGUCAGGGGCGCUCGGGGGCUCCUCGGAGCCUGCACACGGCAGCCCGGCCGCUGAUCGCCCUGAGAACCAGGUCGGGGUGGACGCUCCCUGGACUCGCUCAGAGCGAGGACCCCGGUGAGGGAAGAAAGGCCCGGAGCAGGGCGGCUCCAGGGGCGUGUGUCGCCCACGCGUGUGCCCGCCCGCGUGCUGGAGGAGCCCGGGAUCCCCACGCCUGGCCGCCGUCGGGCUCAUCCUCUGAGGGGACGAGCUCGCCUCCCUCCCGUGUGGCCCUUCCCGGCACCCGCCCGCUGGGCCAGCUGCUGCCAGCCUCCCACCUGCCCUGGGCGACCCUCCCCGGCCUCCUCAGUGGGAAGGCCAGCUCCGUCCUGGGAGAAGUGGAACAGGCCAGGCACCCAGAGCAGCCCCCGUGUCUCCGUCCCCACGUGCUCCGCCAGGGGAGCAGCUCAGGGCCGCAGCGGCUGCACCUGGGUGGCCCGGGAGGGGGGGACACGGAGACAUCGGCCAUCAGCUUGCCCGGGAGCUGCCGCCAGCCGGCCACGCUGACACGGUGCAGCUGUCAGGCUCUGAGAGACGGGCCCGUGCCGAGGACGUGGCCGUCAGCGUGGGGCAGGGGGUGUGCCGCCCAUGCAUGCGGCCACGGAUGCGGAGCAUGCGCCUGAUAACACACCCACGUUCGCACAAUCACGGGCACCCAUAGGUGUGCACACACAGCCGUGCACAUGUGUGACCACACACGUGAGCACACACAAGCACACACAGGGCAGGUAGCGGUCCCUGGGGUGCAGACCGCUCUCCUCCAGCAGAGCCCCCUCUUUCAGGAGCAGGUUUGGGGGCGUCUCCUGAAUCCUUGUCUCCCCUCCUUGGCCUCCGCUGGAUUUACGGAUCUGAGUAAAGCUUGGUGAGUGCUUCCUCCCAAACCCCACGGCCGCCAAAGACGCUCACACCUCAGAGACCAGUUUCCUCGAGCGUGACCUGUGUUCCCUCCGUCCUUCCUGCAGGAAGAAGGUCUUGGGAAGUGUUUGUGGUGCCGCAGUCAGAUGUCCGACCACCCGCCCCGACCCGCUGCAGGGCUGAGUGCGGCCUAGACCCACGGGCCAGAAGCUCGACAGUGAGCCGGCCUCCCAGGGGCGCACGCCCGGCCGGGUGUCAGCAGCAGCUGGGGGGAGCAGCACCCCUGCCAGCGCUGGGAAAUGCCCCAGGGGGCGGAGGGCAUGGGCGGUAAAGGUACCAGGAGGGCCAACAGCGUCACUCCCGUGCCGCGCUCUGCGGGGUGCUGGCCUCUGGCGCCGGGGGUGGGGGGGGGGUGUUAUGGAGACCCCGAAAUGCAGGGCCUGCUUCCAGGGAGGACCCCCUGCCCCCACCCCACAGCGGCCAGCCUGCCACUGCCCUCUGCCGACCAUGCCGGCCCACCACACUCCUGGCCCUGGCGGGCAGAGGGAGGGGACCACAGGAGAAGGAGGCCCGUGUCAGCUCCAGUCAGCGUCAGCAAGCCGGUUGCUGUGGCAACGGGAGGAUGGGGGUGGAGGGGCUGAGUCCUUCUGGAAAGCAGGGAAUGUGUGUCCUCCUUCCAUGGAGCCAAAUUCUUCACGCUCUGCCUCCCCCUCCCAAACCCAUGUGACCACCCAGGCCCGGGGAUGGAGCUAGGCCCUGCUGUCCUGGGGGGCCUCACCCCACGGCCAGGUUCUGCUUGGGGUGUCGUCAGCAGGAGGGACGCUCCCCCAUGCUGCAGGGUCCCUAACGCCCUCACGGGCCACAUUCCAUCCAGAUAGACCGGAGGAUGCCCGGGCGGUCACCCAGGGACAGUCACUGCGGCUCCCUCGCCUGGCUUAUGGGGGAAUCAGUGAGCUCAGCCAAAAGCAGAGGCUGGGUAGGCCUGACCCCAGCAGGGACCCCAAGGCCUCAGGCCCCCCCCUGCCCCCCGUGCACACAGGCCUUUACCUGACGCUGCCGCACACACCCGCCUGGAGGGUAGCCGCUGACCCAGCCUAGGCAGGAGCUGGCUGCAGCACUGCUGGAAGCCAGGACCCCAGCCCGGCAGCCCCGGGGGGGCCAGCAUGCACGGGCCAGGCCGCAGGGUCACACCCACCCCAGCACCCAGCGAGGGGUGGGCAGCCGAGCUGGGAGCCUGCAUCCGGGGGACCCAGGAAGCCCUGACCUCGGGGGGCCACCCGGGGAGAGGCUCGUGGGCAUCCAGAUGGCUCCUGGUUCUUCAGUUAUUACUUUAUGUAAACAAACAAGAGUCGCUGGUUCUAAAUAAAGUUGUCUGUGUAAAUUAAUAUAUCAUAUUCUGUCCUGAAAUAGAGUUAUUUGUCUCUGGAGGAUUCAUGUUAAAGACUGACAUAGGGUAUAACCGUAUUCAUUUGCAUAUGCAGAUAUGUCUAAUUAUUCGACUCGCAAUUAAAGGCUUGUGUGUCAGCAAAUGAGACUAAUUAGAUACAUUUAUCUAUGAUAAUCAGCUUUUUACAAACAAAAUAGAUCCCCCUUCACUUCGCAGGGAUGUGGUUCUUGGGGAGGCCUGCCUGGGGGAGGCGCCUGGAGGGAGGGGCUGCGGCGGUCCACACCCGCCUGGACAGGUGCAGCAGACGCACCUGGUGAGCUGCCCAAGGCCACGGACCCGCAGAGCCAGGCUGGGGGGGGCGUGUCCUGGAGCAUGUCCCUGGCCCUCGCAGGAGGACGUGCCACCAGAAUCACAUGGUGGAAGCUCCAGGCCCUGCAAAGCUGUGGAGCAGAGGAGGCUCCCUGGGGCACAGAAGGUCCAGGGGAAGAGUCCAGAGACAUGCAGAGUCCAGGGAGAGGGUUCUGUCCCCUGGAAAGAAAGGACAGAUGUGUUUCUCAUGAAGAAAAGAGGCCUCCAGGGUCACUGGGAGCCAUGGGGGUCCUGGGGUCGGGAGCCUCAUCCUGGCUGGCAUUGCAGACCCCGGCUCUCGCCUCGGAGAUCUGUCUGGACCCGCAACACAGGUGAGAGCCCCCGCAGACCCUUCUUCAGCCCCGCAUCUUGGGGGGGCUACCGUACAGCAGGCCAGCCCACCGGCACCCGGAGAGGGCGUGAGAGAGCCUGGCUGGCCCAGCCACAGUCACAGCCACCGCACACCCCGCCCCGGCUCCCAGCCGCCCCACCGCCCGCCCCCUUUGGGGAGACCCCUCCAGGCACGGCCCACAGCGUCUGCCCACGCCGCUCCCCAGCCUCCCCAUCUCCCUGCCCCUCCGUGCUCCU
rnacentral:lncRNA from 1 species